AUGGGGAGGCCUUUUUCAUUUAAGGAUGCAGGUAGGUGUGAGGGUACCCACGUAAAUGGGGAGGGGGGCAGGGAGAGCAGCACUCACUAUAGAGAAACCGGAGGGUGGGGACUCCAGCUUCCCUCCGAGUCCCAGCGAGCUGGGGCAGGUGGCGGGUUGGGGGGAGGGGACUGUCGGGGCCGAAGGGGGCGAGGGGCGGGGAUAGGGGGAGCCCCCUUCCAAAGGGAGGCGCAGACCGGAGAAGGUCCCCGUAGAAGGUGGGUGGGGCGCGCGGGAAGAGGUCUGCGGCUGGACAGGAGCUGGGGCGGGCCCGGGGAUCCCCUCAAAGGUUGGGGCGCCGCCUCCUCCGGGAACGGGGGGCGCGAGCAGAGAAGGAGGAGGAGGAGGAGGAGGGGGCCCCGCCCCCUCGGGGGAUGGGGUACUGGGGGCCGGGGGGGGGAGGGAGGCCGGCAGUCCCACCCUCACCUUUCUCUCGAGACCCCGGUCUCCCCGCAAUCCCCGAGUGCCCGGCCCAGCGGCUCCUACCUCUCCCCGGCGCUCCGGGCUCCGCUCCCCGCCGCCUCCGCCUCCCGCUCCCCAUCCACACUCCCUCGCCUCCCCUCCGCCUCCCCUCCUCCUCCCCCGCCGGGUCGGUGCCUUGACAGCUUCCCGGGCCAAUUGUCUUCUCAGCCUCGCGGCUCACUGACCAAUCCUGUCCGGGGGGAGGUGGGGCUUCUCCGAUGUCAUUCAGGCUCCUCCCGGGGCCCCAAGAUCCCUUUUGUUUGGGGAGAGCCGGGCUGGGAUAGAGCUCGCGUCACUUCCUGCGGGAAGAGCCCUCCUCCCAGCCUGACGCGCGGGUUGGCUCUCGCGCCGCGAUCCUGUCGGGCUCUGUCGUUGCUAGCCCGCUCGCCCGCUCGCGGCAAGGGGCGUGUAUUGCCUUCGCCGGGUCCUAGACGGACCGGGAAGGAUGUGGCGUUCGUCCCUGGGAUGGUGUUCCCGGGUUGCAAUUUUGCCCCGUUUUGUUUGGGCUUUAGAAUUUGUAUUCCAUCGCCCAGUUCACCAAUAUUCUAUUCGAUUUGUAAUCCCAUUCUAGUACUCGCUUUAAAAAUGAGAAACCCCUCUUUGUGGUUGCACCAAUGGAGAGUACCUUGGGAAUGGCGAAGGGGGAAUAGCAGAUAG
rnacentral:lncRNA from 1 species